AUUCUCUUUUAUCCGUGCUAUUGUACGCGAAUUAUAAAAUUUCUAAAAUAUAAAAAUUUUAUACGUGCAAUCCUCGCGAGUUUAUUUAUCAAGUUCCUUGCCAAUCCUAAUCAUACAGUCCACUACAAUGAGUAUGGAAAAUAGUAGUGACACUUUGUGUUCCGUAUGAUGACGUCAUAUAUGCCGCACAAAUAAGCGCUGAAGCUAAAUUUACUAGAACCGACACUAUGCUCUGUUGAUAAUCUAUAUAUAAAUGAAUUGCUGUUCGUUAGUCUCGCUAAAACUCGAGAACGGCUAGACCGAUUUAGCUAAUUUUGGUCUCGAGUUAUUUAUGGAAAUCCAGAGAAGGUUUAAAAACGUAGAUAAAUAUGAAAAUGUUCGGAAUUAAAUAAAAAUAACAA